UUUUGACAGGAGCAGCUUGCAACAAGAAAUACAGGUAAAGAAACAAAGUGAAUGAUGCCUCGCACCAUUGCGGAUGGCACAAAUUAAACAAGUGGUGUCCACCUGCUACAGAUGGAAUAAUCAGAUUUGCAGCCCAGGAGCACUCAAUGAUUCUGCUUUGCCGUAGAAGGCUCAGGUGGCUUCCAUGGAAUGGACUGCCUUCUACUAGCUGGCAGGCAAUUUCAAGCCCUUAUAGGAAGACAGCUUUGCUGGUGGAAUCUCUCACUUGUCCUUAAGCAGCUGCCACGGCUCCUUACCAGUUUCCAGGCUGAAUUCAAAGUGCAGCUGAUGCCCUUCAUGCUUGGGAUUUGAACAAGUUUGGAAAGUGCUUGAAAAACUGCCUGGUUCUUGUCUCUGCUUCCCUGCCCUGAGCUCAACUUCACAGGCUCUUCUCAAACUGCUACUCCGGUGAAGCAGCAGGCGGCACUCAAGGAAGGCCUUCUUCGUGGUGGCACUCCCAUCUGUGGAACACUCCCCAGGGAAGCUUGCCUGAUGCCUGCUACAUAAUGUCCAUCUGAUGGCAAGCAAAAGGCCUCAUUUUCCUAAGUUUAAAAAGAAUAAAUACUGAAAUAUAAA